CUGAUAUGAAGUACAAGAACCGACCAGCCAUGUCAACAGAUACGGAAUGCAACAACCAACCAACUAGAUCAACAGAUACUGAAUACAACAACAGACCAACUAGGUCAACAGAUACGGAAUGCAACAACCAACAAACUAGAUCAACAGAUACGGAAUGCAACAACCAACCAACUAGGUCAACAGAUACGCAUGUAGAUAGAACUACUCUACUCCUACUCAGGAUACUAAGCAUGCAAACAACGAGUAGAGUAUAACGAAUAAACAAGGGUAAAAAAAUAGAAGAGUAAGGGUAAAAAAAUCAUCACUAAGCGUGC
rnacentral:lncRNA from 1 species